GUGCUUGCUCUGGCAGCACGCAUGCUAACAUUGGAAUGAUGCAAAGAAGAUUAGCAUGGGCCUGCGCAAGGAGGACUCGCAAAUUUGUGGAGUGGUCCACAUUAAA